GGAAGGAGCUCUUCUGGAGAUCCCUCCUCUGGAGUUCUGCAGUGAGCACAGGAUGCAGUGCUUAGUGUUAUAGUUAAGAAAAGAAGACUGUGAUCCUGAAGUAAGACUGUGCCUGGGGAGUUUUACUGACUCAGUGACAGCGGGUUAACAGAUACAAUCACAAAAUUAUAGAAUACCCUGAGUUGGAGGGGACCCACAAGCAUCACAGAACCACAGAACGGAGGGCUGUCUGCCUCUGAACUGACCUUGUCGGGGACAUCCACUGAGGAUGAUAACAUUGCCAGGUGCUGAAAUUAACAGCCAUUUCCUAAGGGUGUCCUCCUCCACGUAUGUCUUCCAGAAGAAGAAAAACAGAAAAAAUGCAAAGAAAUCUUUUAGAAACCAGAAUAUUUUCUCCAGUCCCAAAAGUCUCCUAAUUCAGAAUACACCAUCUUGUUUAUGCUACAGAGCUUGUAAUUUUCUUUACGAUGCCAAAAGUUGUGAAUAUCUGAUGACAUGAAAUUUGGCUUGAUGAUGUGCUGCUGGCUGAAGCCGUACAUGAAACGGCUCUCUCAGCUUCUCAUGUCAUGUAUUAAAACAGGACAAAAACCCUGGGGGAAAAUGUAUGUUUGCUUUUCUCAGAAUUUAGUUAGGAUAUGAAGGUGCUAAAACAAUACCUUUUUAGCUCAUAUUUGUCCAUAAAUUUAGGGUGAUUUUCCUUUUUAAUGGCAAACAGAUCUGUGUCACCACGGUGACAGGUAGCUAAGGCUCAUGGCUGAUGUGAUAAUGUUUGUCAGAGAAACGGCAGCAGAAAGCAGCAGUCCCUCUGCCAACAAAAAUUUUCUAUCAGCCCUGUAGGUGUCUGACGCCCAGGCACAAAAUGGGGACAGUUAUACAAGAACAACUCGACUUCAUCACGGGUGAUGCUUGUGUAUGCAAAUACUGGUGUUGUGAAUCCAAUUAGGUUUCUCUGUGUGCAGGAAUAUGCCAAACUAGCUGCAUCUGAUCAGGCUGAUUGAGGGCUGGGUACACAUAAGGUCACUCACCAGCAGAGCCCAGCAUGGAUACCUGGAGCCAGGAGCAGGCAAGGUAAAGAUACAGUGGGAUGGCACAAUGGCAAACCUGGGUAGUGGGGAAAAAUAGCAGGAUUAUCCAUUUUAUAUCUUCAAGCAGCUCAUUUUCACUUUUCCUAAGGUUAGUUAUUGCUUUCUCUUGGGACAAGUAAUGACAAAAAUCCUGUCUAUUUUUUUGGGUGUUUUCAGUGUAUGCCCUAAGCAGAGCAGUGAACAGACGCUGCCAUGCACAGAGGCUGGGUGGCAGCCGCUUGUGCAGCCGUUGUCAAUGGAACACUUCCGCACUUAAUGAAGGAGUGGUGUCAUUUAUUAGAGCAAUUUUACUUUAGGGCCUCCUGAAUAUUCAUGGCAUGCUGGUUCCUGCUGAUCGAUGUUUCUGUUGACUCAAUGAAUCAGCCGAUCUUGUGAAGAGUUUAAAUCGGC